UGAGAAACAGACUCAUGGACACUGGGAGGGGAGAAGCUGAGAAAUACCCAAGGACAUUUGCGGUAGGCUGAAAUUGAAAGACUUGAUCACUCUCAUUGUGAUUUUCAGCUAACUGGUUUCAUCUACUUUGAUCUGUGCUGUACAGCAGGAUUUUUAGAUGCCAGAUGCCUAAAACACAUAGGUUAAAAGCAGCUUCUGUGCCCUGUCUCCAAUCAAUUCUUUGGCCAGAGAAAUGGGAUUCACAUGUGGAUUUAAGCCAACUGAGUUCCACUUUAAAAUUUGAGGAGCUGAAGCUAUUGCUUGGUUUAAAAGACCAAAUUCCUAGAACCAAGGGAUCGCUGAUGUUACUUUCUUUGGAAUUUACCAUGGCUAAUAUGAAGAUCAUGUAUGCAGAUGUGAAUGUUGAUACUACGUUCUUGAAACAGGCCCCAUAGACCACUGCAGUUCAGUCAAGUGGAUCGAACUUUCCUGUGUUGUUUCUCUCACACAAAAUUUGAAAAGAUCAACGCAGAAAAUGUUAUGUCACUUGUGUUCACAAGAAUAGAUUCUAUUCUAUUUCUUUUCUAUUAUUACUGCUGCUCAGUGUGAUGAUUUAGUAUUGAGUGAAACCGUGUUAUUAUAUUGCUUCUUUUGUAAAUGAGAGUUAUUGUUGGAAUAGAUCGCACAUUUUCAUUUUAAAUACCAAAGUCCUGAGAUUUGUUGAUCUAACUAACAGAGUAGAAAUGAAUGUUUUAACUAUCUGAAUAUACUUUCAGCUCUAAAGUUGGUAUAGAUAACUAUAAUUCUAUCAGUUCUAUUAAGUUGAGAUUAAAAUAUUAUCUAGCAAAAAAAUGCUAUGUCUAAGGCAAUGAACUAAAAAAUAUCAGGUGAUUUUCUAUAACACACAGAUGAGCAUCUAUGUUAUUUUCAUUUCAGGUUGAUAGUCCAAUAUGGAAAAAUUCUCAUCUCACUAGCACCCAGGAUUUUAACAUUGUGUUAACUCUUGUCAUAAAUCAACUUCUUGUUUUCCUCUGAAGUAUUUUAUUAUGUAAUAUAUUAUUUAACUCAGACAGGAUUUUAAAAAUCUAUCAAAUUAAUAAAAUGCUGCUUUGACACUGAAUUACACUAGUCAACAUUGCCACAAUUUCCUAGCAUUUAAAGAGAAUAGCUCUGUAUCUCUGGCUAUUAUAAAGUUCUUGUUAUGUGGGUUGAGUUUGCAUUUUUAGAGUGGGAUCCCAAUCACCAUUAAGCCAAGUCUUCUUUUCACACCAUUAGUUGUUUAUUUUUCAAAAAUGCAUUUUUGAGUUUUGCUCACGUGAAACUGAAAUAUCUUCAGUAAAAUUAAAAACUCAAUUAACACAUGGAUAUUUUGGUUUCAUAGCCUAGGUGUCUGGAAAUACUGAAACUGCUGGGAUGUUCGGUUAUUUGGAGAGGGAGGUUUGUUUAGUUGCUUUCCUUUUAGAUGUUUUGCAUCAUAAAGAGAUAGCCAUAGAAAAUUCUUUUUCCUAAGUAAAGGAAUAUGCUUCUCUUCCAUGUUAUACAGAAUAAAGGUGACUAUAAUCAACAUACUUAAUGGGCAAUUAGUUAAUAAUAUUUUGUCUGUGUAAAAGCUGGCUUAGAAGCUACAGUCAACACAAUAAGAUAUAAUUCUUAGAAGGAAACUGUGAAAAAAGUUAAAAACAAAUGUGAAACUGUUGUCUUCUUAUGAGUACAGCAUAUUUUGGGGGAUUCAGGUGGUGUGCUGUUUGUGUAAGGCUGGAGAGGAUAAGCCAGUGGAUAAAAAGUAUACAUAAUUCCAAGAUGAUGAGACAGAGAGCUGAAAACAUCAUUAGAAUUCCCAGGUCCAGCUAUACUAUAUCCAAUUUUAGACUUUCCAAAUUUAUGAGCCAAUAAACUCCUUUUUAAUAAUUUAAAUUACUUUUGUUUGGUUUCUGUCACCAAAAAUCUAGAAUCAUAUGUCAGAUGUUGUAGAAAAGUAUCAAUGAUGCAUAGUUCUUUUUGUGGUUAUGAGAGAAUGAAAUAUAAUAUGAUGUUAUUUACAUUCAUGAUCUUUAGUGGCAAUAUUAUAAAGUUUGAUAAGAUGAUAAUAUUUCCUUAUAAAUUUAAAGCUACUGAGUUAGAAAACAGGUUAGAGCUGAUGACAGUUUCAUUGAAAACAAAAUAACUAACUUAAUGUUUUUACUCCUUUAAUUUAGUAAUUCCUUUUGUAAUUAUGGGGUACAGGAGGCUUGGCAACAGCAUAUUCUGCAAAGAAAAAGAUAAACGGACAGAAUUCAUUCUUAAGAUUUACUAUGAAUAUUUACCAGUCAACUUGAUGUCCCAAACCAUCUGCCUAUAUACACAGCUGAUCCUAAGUGCAGUAAGUUCCAUUUACUAACACAUGGAACUGUAUAUUAUACAUCUUGGGAAUGUUACUAUAAAAACAAGAAAUUAAACUUUAGGCGAUUAAACUAUCCAUAAAAUUAUUGAAUAAUCCCAGAUAUAUGGAGACUUUGUGGAAACACAACACAUUUUUAUAAUUCUCAAGCAAGAAAAAUGCAACCUGGUUGUAAGAAAGGCUGUAGAAUCCCUGGAACUUUUAAAGGAACAUUUACUUCUUGUUUAAUAUUUCUUGUAUAUAUCGGGCACAUGGAUUCAACAUUUUAGUCCAGUGCUUAUUUUCUGACACCUAUUAUUGAAUGAAAGUGUGCACUUGUACUUUAUUUAAAUGCCCACUAUAAAAGAGACACACUGCUUUGUAUCUUACACAUGGACCUUGAUUUCCAUACCCAACUUCAUCUCUAAACUAUCACUACCAUGGGGAAACCAUUUGGUUUAUUCCUAGCCCCAAAGAUAAGUUAAAGUGUGCUCAGAUGUUUGAGGUAUGAUAGGAAACUAUCUUUUGAAGUUCUCGCUCUUUGGACAAAUUUCAUCAUACCCAAUAAACAUGCUUAUCUGCAGUGGAUUGCAUGUGAUCUUUAUACUUGUUCUAUUCACUUUGUUUGCUUAUUUGUUUAAUCUUCUCUUUGCUUUUCAGCUCUUCACGUUCACAGUUUCAGAUGAUAGUUUCUUUUUUCUUACUGGUGGUGUUGCUCCUAGUUAUGGCUAAUAACAAACUUAACCAAUUAAUCUGUUUCUUUGCUGGUUUUUUCUUAUGACACUCACCAUGAGUUUUAUGACUACUGAUUAUUAUUAAGUACCUGGUUAACUUUGACUAUCUACUGGUUAUUAGACUUCAAAACAAUUAUUUGGAGAAUUAGCAUAAGGCAUAGGAUGAUGACACCCUUCCUCCAGAGAGGUUGUUAUGGAACUGAGUCCACCCAAAUUUCACAUGCUGAAAUUCUAACCCCCAUACCUCAGAAUGUGAACUUAUUUGGAAAUAGGGUCCUUGCAGAUGAAAUUAGUUAAGAUGAGGUCAUAACUGGAAGAGGGUGGGCUCUCACCCCAACAUGACUAGUGUCCUUAUAAAAAGUAGAAGUUUAGAUAUAAACAUACACAUAGGGAGAACAUCCUGAGAAAAUUGGGGGUAUGCUGCCAUAAUUAAGAAACAAUCAGAAGCUAAGACAAAGGCUUGGAAGAGAUACUUCCCUUGCCUACGGAGGGAGCAUAGCCUUGUAGACACCUUAAUCUUAGACUUCCAGCCUCCGGAAUUGUGAGACAAUAAGUUUUUGUUGUUUAAGCUACCCAGUUGGUGAUGGUUUGCUAUGGCAGCCCCAGAAAACAAAGAGAGAAGGUGUGAAAUUUGCUUCUGUGAAUCCUUUGGGUGAGGGAUAAAGAAACCUAUGCCCUUGGCCAGUGAGUACGCCCUAUGCUUAGAAGUUCAUUCACCUCUGAUCAUUUAAUUUCAGUUACCCUCCUUCCAACAACUUAGCAGGCAGAGACAGUCACUGACUUAGUAGUAAAGAAGACAGAGUUCAAGGGCAAAAGAACACAUCUAUGGUAAGGCCCUUCCACUCUAGACUUAGCCUUCCUCUUGUGUUGUGCGUACUGUCGCAUUUUACAUACCUGGGUUUGCAAUCUCAGGACAUUGGCCAGUGUCCCUUCACCCUACCCUAUUCUGCAUGAGUUAAAAUAUGCUUUCCUGAGAAGGCUGGGAUACAUUUAUAAUUAAUAGUAGCCCAAGUAGCCCAGUUACCUAAAGAGAGGUCAUUUGAAAGAAGAAUUCAAUACAUUUUUCCCAGCCUAGUAAAUAUUUUUAAAAAUAGCUCUUUAGUUAGAUAGCUAAACCUAAAUUUUCAGAGAGGCAGUAGAUAGGUUUAAAAGCAGAUUAAUAAAGGAAACAAACAUUUAACUAAAAUUAAAGACUUUAUUGGUUGAAACAUAUUAUUUACUAACUUAAUUUAAUUUUAGAUUUUAUUUAGUCUUGAGCAGAAUGUUUUUCCAGUUUUCUGAUUUUCCUUAGUCAGUAGGCUAGUUUCCUGGCUGUUUUUUCCUAACUCUCAUGCAUUUCUCAUAUCCAAUCAUAAUGUCCAUUUGCAUAAUUCUUAACCCCAGACCUUGAAUGAAAAAAGAAAUAACAAUAAUACCUUAUAUCUGUAUAAUGCCUUAGAGUACACAUGUCCAUUUAUAUAGCAGAAGCUCCCCUAAACCAUCUUCACUUACACAUUCUGAUCAGGUAAGACAAUUUUUCAUUUAUUCCAUGGCACGAUGAGGACCAGCUGCUAUUAGGCCACUUUUCAGCAAGCUGCUCACCUUUGUGCCCAACAGUGGAACAAUUUCUACAAAGUUGUGUUUGUCCUCAAAAGUGCAUAAGUGAGGAGUACUUGGUAUUGUCAUUGUGUCAUUUAAAUAAAUAUUAUUAGAUAAGCCUGUGGUACACGAGUACAAAAGGAAAGAGAAUUGUCUCUAUAAACCUAACAG